GUGGGGAAUAUUGGGCAAUGGGCGAAAGCCUGACCCAGCAACGCCGCGUGAGGGAAGAAGGCCUUCGGGUUGUAAACCUCUGUCCUUGGUGACGAAAAAAAUGACGGUAGCCAAGGAGGAAGCCCCGGCUAACUACGUGCCAGCAGCCGCGGUAAUACGUAGGGGGCGAGCGUUGUCCGGAAUUACUGGGCGUAAAGGGUGCGUAGGUGGCCUUUUAAGUUGGAUGUGAAAUACCCGGGCUUAACUUGGGGGGUGCAUCUAAUACUGGAGGGCUAGAGUGCAGGAGAGGGAAGCGGAAUUCCUAGUGUAGCGGUGAAAUGCGUAGAUAUUAGGAGGAACACCAGUGGCGAAGGCGGCUUUCUGGACUGUAACUGACACUGAGGCACGAAAGCGUGGGGAGCAAACAGGAUUAGAAACCCGGGUAGUCC
rnacentral:rRNA from 1 species